rnacentral:tRNA from 1 species
ACACUGGUGGUUCAGUGGUAGAAUUCUCAUCUUCCAUGUGGGAGACUCUGGUUAGAUUCCCGGCCAAUCCA